AGGGCACCACCAGGGGUGGAGCCUGCGGCUUAAUUUGACUCAACACGGGGAAACUCACCAGGUCCAGACACAAUGAGGAUUGACAGAUUGAGAGCUCUUUCUUGAUUUUGUGGGUGGUGGUGCAUGGCCGUUCUUAGUUGGUGGAGUGAUUUGUCUGCUUAAUUGCGAUAACGAACGAGACCUUAACCUGCUAAAUAGCCCCUAUUGCUUUGGCAGUAGGCUGGCUUCUUAGAGGGACUAUCCGCUCAAGCGGAUGGAAGUUUGAGGCA
rnacentral:rRNA from 1 species